UCCCUGGUGGUCCAGUGGCUAAGACUCUGCACUCCCAACGCAGAGGGCCAGAGUUCAAUCCCUGGUCAGAGAG
rnacentral:tRNA from 1 species